rnacentral:rRNA from 1 species
GGGUUGUGAGGUUAAGCGACUAAGCGUACACGGUGGAUGCCCUGGCAGUCAGAGGCGAUGAAGGACGUGCUAAUCUGCGAUAAGCGUCGGUAAGGUGAUAUGAACCGUUAUAACCGGCGAUUUCCGAAUGGGGAAACCCAGUGUGUUUCGACACACUAUCAUUAACUGAAUCCAUAGGUUAAUGAGGCGAACCGGGGGAACUGAAACAUCUAAGUACCCCGAGGAAAAGAAAUCAACCGAGAUUCCCCCAGUAGCGGCGAGCGAACGGGGAGCAGCCCAGAGCCUGAAUCAGUGUGUGUGUUAGUGGAAGCGUCUGGAAAGGCGCGCGAUACAGGGUGACAGCCCCGUACACAAAA